AGUGAACGCUGGCGGUAGGCCUAACACAUGCAAGUCGAACGGCAGCACAGUAAGAGCUUGCUCUUACGGGUGGCGAGUGGCGGACGGGUGAGGAAUACAUCGGAAUCUACUUUUUCGUGGGGGAUAACGUAGGGAAACUUACGCUAAUACCGCAUACGACCUACGGGUGAAAGCAGGGGAUCUUCGGACCUUGCGCGAUUGAAUGAGCCGAUGUCGGAUUAGCUAGUUGGCAGGGUAAAGGCCCACCAAGGCGACGAUCCGUAGCUGGUCUGAGAGGAUGAUCAGCCACACUGGAACUGGGACACGGUCCAGACUCCUACGGGAGGCAGCAGUGGGGAAUAUUGGACAAUGGGCGCAAGCCUGAUCCAGCCAUACCGCGUGGGUGAAGAAGGCCUUCGGGUUGUAAAGCCCUUUUGUUGGGAAAGAAAAGCAGCAGGUUAAUACCCCGCUGUUCUGACGGUACCCAAAGAAUAAGCACCGGCUAACUUCGU
rnacentral:rRNA from 1 species